rnacentral:rRNA from 1 species
GCCAAAAAUCUAGCCCAACCAACAUGAAUUUAACCCUACCAACUAACUUACAGAAACAAAUCAUUUUAAUACUCUAGUAAAGGCGAUUGAAAAAUUUAUUGGAGCUAUAAUAACAGUACCGCAAGGGAAAAAUGAAAUAUACAAUGAAAAAUCUUAAGCAAUAAAAAGUAAAGACUACCCCUUGUACCUUUCGCAUCAUGGUUUAACUAGUUUAAUCAAGCAAAAUGCAUUUAAGUUUGACCUCCCGAAACUAAGUGAGCUACUUCAAGGCAGCCAAAAGAGCAAACCCGUCCCUGUUGCAAAAGGGUGGGAAGACCCCCAAGUAGUGGUGAUAAACCUAACGAACUUAGUGAUAGCUGGUUACUCAGAAAACGGAUAUNAGUCCAGCCUAAAAUAUAAAAAUGCCAUAAAACAACAACUUAACUUUUAGAGUAAUUCAAAUAAGGUACAGCCUAUUUGAAACAGGAUACAACCUAUACUAAUGGAUAAAACUAGCCGCAUCCACAACCAAGUAGGCCUAAAAGCAGCCACCUUUAAAAUAGCGUCAAAGCUUAAUUGUUCACAUGCCUAAUCCCAACAUUUACCUUAAUCCAUCAUCAAUACUGAGUAAUUCUAUAAUAUUAUAGAAAAUUUCAUGUUAAAACUAGUAACAAGAAGAAGACCCUUCUCUUCAAUGCAAACAUAAGUCAGAAAGGACAAACCACUGACACUUAACGUCACUGAGCCAAAAGUAGUAACCACCCAAGAAAACCCUACUUUUCCUAACGUUAACCUAACACAAGAGCAUUUAAAGAAAGAUUAAAAGAAAAAGAAGGAACUCGGCAAAUUUUAACCUCGCCUGUUUACCAAAAACAUCGCCUCUUGAACAAUUAUAAGAGGUCCAGCCUGCCCAGUGACCCUGUUUAACGGCCGCGGUAUCCUAACCGUGCGAAGGUAGCGUAAUCACUUGUUCUUUAAAUGAGGACUAGUAUGAAUGGCAUCACGAAGGUUAUACUGUCUCCUUUUUCUAAUCAGUGAACCUAAUCUCCCCGUGAAGAAGCGGGAAUUAAUCUAUAAGACGAGAAGACCCUAUGGAGCUUUAAACAAAAUAGCACUUGCUGUAAUAUACAAAUUUCAGAACUCUCCCCCUCCCCAGCAAUAUGACUACAAGUUUUUGGUUGGGGUGACCACGGAGCACAACACAACCUCCAUGUUGAAAGAAUACUAUUCUAAGCCAAGAGCCACUUCUUUAAGCAUCAACAUAUUGACAUCAAUUGACCCAAUACACUUGAACAACGAACCAAGUUACCCUAGGGAUAACAGCGCAAUCCACUUCAAGAGCUCCUAUCGACAAGUGGGUUUACGACCUCGAUGUUGGAUCAGGGUUUCCCAGUGGUGCAGCCGCUACUAAAGGUUCGUUUGUUCAACGAUUAAACCC